GUGCUCACUUCAGCAGCACAUAUGCUAAAAUUGGAAGGAUAUAGACAUUAUCAUGGCCCCUGCACAAGAAUGACACACAUUCAUGAGGCAUUCCAUAUAUUUUU